rnacentral:rRNA from 1 species
UGCAGUCGAACGGUAACAGAACUAGCUUGCUAGUUGCUGACGAGUGGCGGACGGGUGAGUAACGCGUAGGAAUCUACCGAGUAGUGGGGGACAACAGUUGGAAACGACUGCUAAUACCGCAUAAUCCCUGAGGGGGAAAGGAGGGGAUCUGUUUACAGACCUUUCGCUAUUUGAUGAGCCUGCGUGAGAUUAGCUAGUUGGUGAGGUAAUGGCUCACCAAGGCGACGAUCUCUAGCUGGUCUGAGAGGAUGAUCAGCCACACUGGAACUGAGACACGGUCCAGACUCCUACGGGAGGCAGCAGUGGGGAAUAUUGCACAAUGGGCGAAAGCCUGAUGCAGCCAUACCGCGUGUGUGAAGAAGGCUCUAGGGUUGUAAAGCACUUUCAGUAGGGAGGAAAGGUUGUGGAUUAAUACUCUGCAGCUGUGACGUUACCUACAGAAGAAGGACCGGCUAACUCCGUGCCAGCAGCCGCGGUAAUACGGAGGGUCCGAGCGUUAAUCGGAAUUACUGGGCGUAAAGCGUACGUAGGUGGUUUGUUAAGUUGGAUGUGAAAGCCCAGGGCUCAACCUUGGAACUGCAUUCAAAACUGAUGAACUA